UACAGAGGUCCCAAGCGUUGUUCGGAUUCACUGGGCGUAAAGGGUGCGCAGGUGGGUUUGCAAGUUUGAUGUGAAAGCCCCGGGCUUAACCCGGGAAUGGCAUUGAAUACUGCAGAUCUGGAGGAUUGGAGGGGAGACUGGAAUUCUUGGUGUAGCAGUGAAAUGCGUAGAUAUCAAGAGGAACACCAGUGGCGAAGGCGAGUCCCUGGACAAUACCUGACACUGAGGCACGAAAGCCAAGGGAGCAAACAGG
rnacentral:rRNA from 1 species